rnacentral:rRNA from 1 species
GAUGAACGCUGGCGGCGUGCCUAAUACAUGCAAGUCGAGCGAACAGACGAGGAGCUUGCUCCUCUGACGUUAGCGGCGGACGGGUGAGUAACACGUGGAUAACCUACCUAUAAGACUGGGAUAACUUCGGGAAACCGGAGCUAAUACCGGAUAAUAUAUUGAACCGCAUGGUUCAAUAGUGAAAGACGGUUUUGCUGUAACUUAUAGAUGGAUCCGCGCCGCAUUAGCUAGUUGGUAAGGUAACGGCUUACCAAGGCAACGAUGCGUAGCCGACCUGAGAGGGUGAUCGGCCACACUGGAACUGAGACACGGUCCAGACUCCUACGGGAGGCAGCAGUAGGGAAUCGUCCGCAAGGGGCGAAAGCCUGACGGAGCAACGCCGCGUGAGUGAUGAAGGUCUUCGGAUCGUAAAACUCUGUUAUUAGGGAAGAACAAAUGUGUAAGUAACUAUGCACGUCUUGACGGUACCUAAUCAGAAAGCCACGGCUAACUACGUG